AUUGAACGCUGGCGGCAGGCCUAACACAUGCAAGUCGAGCGGUAGCACAGAGAGCUUGCUCUCGGGUGACGAGCGGCGGACGGGUGAGUAAUGCCUGGGAAACUGCCUGAUGGAGGGGGAUAACUACUGGAAACGGUAGCUAAUACCGCAUAACGUCGCAAGACCAAAGUGGGGGACAUUCGGGCCUCAUGCCAUCAGACGUGCCCAGUUGGGAUUAGCUAGUAGGUGGGGUAACGGCUCACCUAGGAGACGAUCCCUAGCUGGUCUGAGAGGAUGACCAGCCACACUGGAACUGAGACACGGUCCAGACGCCUACGGGAGGCAGCAGUGGGGAAUAUUGCACAAUGGGCGCAAGCCUGAUGCAGCCAUGCCGCGUGUGUGAAGAAGGCCUUCGGGUUGUAAAGCACUUUCAGCGGGGAGGAAGGCGGUGAGGUUAAUAGCCUCAUCGAUUGACGUUACCCGCAGAAGAAGCACCGGCUAACUCCGUGCCAGCAGCCGCCGCAG
rnacentral:rRNA from 1 species